CACGUAGGGUGCAAGCGUUGUCCGGAAUUAUUGGGCGUAAAGAGCUCGUAGGCGGUUUGUUGCGUCGGCUGUGAAAUCCCGAGGCUCAACCUCGGGUCUGCAGUCGAUACGAGCAAACUAGAGUGUUGCAGGGGAGACUGGAAUUCCUGGUGUAGCGGUGAAAUGCGCAGAUAUCAGGAGGAACACCGGUGGCGAAGGCGGGUCUCUGGGCAACAACUGACGCUGAGGAGCGAAAGCGUGGGGAGCGAACAGG
rnacentral:rRNA from 1 species